ACCAUCCGUGGGAUUACGACUGAACGCCUCUAAGUCAAAAUCCCGUCUAAGCAGUGCAAUGAUAUCGUGCGCACUUGCAGCGUUUACAGGUGACGUUAGAGUUUCUCGGGUCGAUCGCGGCGGGCCGCCGCGAUUCCCGGCUCGACGACGCCACGUGGACGUGGUGGCAUUAGUCGUUCGCCGAGGUAACGGUGCGAGCGACGCUCCCAUGCAAUCGUUUUUGGUGUGAACCGCUGCGGUGUCAAAUCGUCUGUAGACGACUUAGGUACCUGUCGUGGUGUCGUAAUUAGUAGAGCAGCCACCACACUGCGAUCUAUUGAGGCUUAGCCAUUGACCGGGAGGUUUGU
rfam:Ixodes scapularis strain Wikel colony gcontig_1108379166878, whole genome shotgun sequence.